rnacentral:rRNA from 1 species
UACGAAGGGGGCUAGCGUUGUUCGGAAUCACUGGGCGUAAAGCGCACGUAGGCGGAUCGUUAAGUCGGGGGUGAAAUCCCAGGGCUCAACCCUGGAACUGCCUUCGAUACUGGCGAUCUUGAGUCCGGGAGAGGUGAGUGGAACUGCGAGUGUAGAGGUGAAAUUCGUAGAUAUUCGCAAGAACACCAGUGGCGAAGGCGGCUCACUGGCCCGGUACUGACGCUGAGGUGCGAAAGCGUGGGGAGCAAACAGG